AACGAACGCUGGCGGCAGGCUUAACACAUGCAAGUCAAGCGCCCCGCAAGGGGGGCGGCAGACGGGUGAGUAACGCGUGGGAAUCUACCCAUCUCUACGGAAUAACGCAUGGAAACGUGUGCUAAUACCGUAUACGUCCUUCGGGAGAAAGAUUUAUCGGAGAUGGAUGAGCCCGCGUUGGAUUAGCUAGUUGGUGGGGUAAAGGCCUACCAAGGCGACGAUCCAUAGCUGGCCUGAGAGGAUGAUCAGCCACACUGGGACUGAGACACGGCCCAGACUCCUACGGGAGGCAGCAGUGGGGAAUAUUGGACAAUGGGCGCAAGCCUGAUCCAGCCAUGCCGCGUGAGUGAUGAAGGCCCUAGGGUUGUAAAGCUCUUUCACCGGUGAAGAUAAUGACGGUAACCGGAGAAGAAGCCCCGGCUAACUUCGUGCCAGCCGCCGCCGUAAUAC
rnacentral:rRNA from 1 species